rnacentral:rRNA from 1 species
AGUGAACGCUGGCGGCGUGCUUAACACAUGAAAGUCGAACGAGAACGGAAUAUAGCUUGCUAUAUUUGUCAGCCAAGUAGCGCACGGGGGAGUAAUGUACAAAUAACCUGCCCUUAAGAAAGGAAUAACAGUUGGAAACGACAGUAAAUCCCCUAUCUGCCUUUAAGACAUAAGUAUGCAAGGGAAACGCUUGAGUGCUUAAGGAUGGGUCUGUAUGGUAUCAGCUUGUUGGUAUGGUAAUUGCCCACCAAGGCUAUGACGCCUAACUGGUUUGAGAGGAUGAUCAGUGACACUGGAACUGAGACACGGUCCAGACUCCUACGGGAGGCAGCAGUGGGGAAUAUUGCACAAUGGACGAGAGUCUGAUGCAGCAACGCCGCGUGGAGGAUGACACAUUUCGGUGCGUAAACUCCUUUUAUAUAGGAAGAUAAUGACGGUACUAUAUGAAUAAGCACCGGCUAACUCCGUGCCAGCAGCCGCAGUAA